GCCAUGGGGGCUGUUCUUGGGACAGCCCACUGAAACCAGCCUCAGUCUCCAGGGUGGGACAGAAGCCACACUAGUCAAGUGUCCGGGUUCACGAGGUCAUCUUUGGCAAGUGUGUGGAGGAUUCAGGAGCCUGGGACUCAGGGUCCCGGCCUGCCCAGGGCAGAGAGACCAUUCUCGAGGCUGCUUGGAAACGCUCCCCUGCCCCUCUGGAAAGGUUUUCGCUCAGAUGUCACCUCUGCGAAGGAUCCGGACGUCACACCCCGCACCAUCCUCAUCCCCUUUCCUGGCCCCAGAUGGUUGUGUAGCACUUGCCACCUUCCACCAGACAAUACAGCUACUAAACGUAA